UACGUAGGUGGCAAGCGAUACUCGGAAUCACUAGGCGUAAAGCGCAGGUAGGCGGCUUGAUAAGUCUUUUGUGAAAGCUCCUGGCUUAACUGGGAGAGGUCAAAGGAAACUGUCAGGCUAGAGUUUGGUAGGGGAUACUGGAAUUCCUGGUGUAGCGGUGAAAUGCGUAGAUAUCAGGAGGAAUACCUAUGGCGAAAGCAGGUAUCUGGGCCACAACUGACGCUGAGGCGCGAAAGCCAGGGGAGCAAACGGG
rnacentral:rRNA from 1 species